GGGUUUGUAGCUCAGUUGGUUAGAGCACACGCCUGAUAAGCGUGAGGUCGAAGGUUCGAGUCCUUCUAAGCCCACCA
rnacentral:tRNA from 1 species